AAGUCGUAACAAGGUUUCCGUAGGUGAACCUGCGGAAGGAUCAUUACCGAAAGCGCUGUGCUUCACUGUGCACCUUCUUGUAGUAGACCAUUCAAUCGUCUGCUGCCAUCAGAAUUCGAUGGGAAUCUCGGAUGCUGUUGUGGGCGGGCCUUUGGUCUCCUACGUCUUCUUUUUUUUCACCACACAAAACCUGUCAUUGUAGGGUGUUGCACUCGAACACAUAUAAUAUAACUUUCAACAACGGAUCUCUUGGCUCUC
rnacentral:misc_RNA from 1 species